AAAAUUAACGCUGUAAAAGCUGAACUUUUAAUAUUGUACUGAAACUUUAAUUAUGACUUUAAAUCUGGGUCUCGUAAAAUCAGAUUGACAGACACACGUGCGCGGACGAAGACACAACCUCCUAGCGGAAGUAAUUACUGAGUGAAGUAAAUCUACUCCACUCUACGAGUAAAUUUGCUCCACAAAUUUCAGUAACUUUAUGCAAUAGUUUGGGUCGUUGUGAGUGUGCAGUAUUUUAC